GGACCUGCGGGGAGGGGAGAGGAGGCGGGGCCUGGGGGGGUGUGGCGGUGGGAGAGUGGGCGGGGCUGUGUCGGAGCUUGGAGCGGCUUCAACCUCGAGGGCGGCUCGGAGCCUCUUUCCCUGAGGCUUUCAGCCACGACAAGGGACCCGCUCCUCUCGUGACUCUCUGUUUCCGUGCACAUCUCACCCGCGCCGCCUGGAGGGCUUGAGUUUCGAGCCCGGCCGGACCAGGCGGUUUGGGGUGGAAAUCUGCAGCCAAGGGAUGAGCGCCAGACAACCCGCUAACGGUGACAGCUUGGCUGCAGGCUUCUCGGUGGAGAUAGUCGGAAGAGUCCACAUGCGCUGUCUGGUGCCGCUGAAGAGCUUCUAACACCCGUAGCGACCUACAGCUCUGCAGUCAGUGCCAGUGUUUGCUCCUGUCCAAAUUAAGUACAUGCAGGUUUCCAGAGUAGCUGCGUGAAGCCAAGUUCCCCCAGACAUAUGUUCUACAGUAUGGACAGUCCUCCUGGAGGUCAGCGGACUCUGUAAGGCAUGGAAUGCUUCAUUCUUUCUUUUACACUGUGUCUACCAAGGGCAGUUUAUAUAAAGAUAGUUAUCUCCUGAGUAUGACCGAUGAGAUAGUAAAAGGAUGGAAAGAGUCUUGGGUGACUUCAGAGUUGAAAAAGUAAAUACAAUUAAAAUUUUAAGUUUAUACAUACCUAAUGAUAAAUAUAUAAAGUGAAACUUGACCGAAUGACAAAGAAAAAACUAUAGUCCUAUUAGGUUACUUUAAUAAGCCUUUCUCAGUGAUUUUUAAGACAAACAAAAGAAAAAUCAAUAAGAAUACAGAAAAUGUGAAUAACAUGAUUAAUAAACUUGACCUCAUACACAGAACAUUACCAAAAUUAGAAUGUACAUUUUUUUGGAGCGCAAAGAUGGCAUCAUCCGGCAAUCAACCACAGACUUAUCUGUAAAGCAACCCACAACAAAUUUUAAAGAUUGAAAUCAUUCAGCACAUGUUUUUUGACCAUUAUGCAAUUAAGCUAAAAAUCAAUAAAGAAUUAUAACAAAUCCAUAUAAACCCUUGUCAGAGGAGUCGUAAUGAUAGAAUAAAUAUUGAGCUGAACAAUAAAAUAUAAUAGCAAUGCCUGUGUGAUGCAGCUAAAACAGGGCUUAGAGGGAAAAUUAUAGCCCAAAAUAUAUAAGAAAGAGGCUAAAAAGUCUUUAGUUUAAAUAUCCAUUUUCAAGAGUCAGAAAAAGGAGAACAAGAUUAAAGGAAGUAAAAUGACAGAAAUAAUAUUAAGAGCAGGAAUGAAUGAAAUGGGAAUCAAAAGUAAUAUGCCAGAGACUGUACUGAUACAGGAGAACCUAUUAUGCAUACCUCUCCCCUACUCCAUGGCCACUAAUCUCAAAUUAGUGGCUUGAAAUUGUCCAUGAUGAUAGUAUUCACUCCAUGGAAAUAAAAAAACAGGCUGGUGUUUUAUCAUCUUUGGAGCCAAUCUACUAGAGAACCACUGCAUACAAUGGAUUAAAAAUCCAAAAGUUGAUUUUUUUUUAAAGAAAAGAUGAAUACAAUUGAUCAUUAUCUGUUAGUAUUGAACAAUACAAGGAGAGAUGUUAACCUAUAUUAGUAAUCAAAACUAUAUAUUUCAAAAAAGUUAUGACAUCUUACAAACAAUUCAGUGCAAAUAAAAUUUAGGUAAAUGCACAAAUUUCAAGGAAAACACAACUGGCAGACUCAAGAAUAGAAAAUAUGAAUCUUUCAAACCAUAUUUUAAAUCAGUAGUAAAGAAUCUUCCCACACAAAUUCCAGGUCCAUGGCUCCACAGGUAAGUUCCUCUAACCUUUGAAAUAAUUCUGUCCUUUUGUAUGAGGCCUCCAUAACUUUUGUACUAAUUACAAAAACCCCACACUUAUGAGACACCAAACUCUUUGGAACUCAUUAGGUGGAAAAUGUGAUUUAGUGUCAUGAAGUUCUUUAUAGUCAUUAUUUAUAUAUUACUUAGGUGACUAUGUAUGUUUUGCUGCAGAAAUAAUAAUGUAUGAAUAUUGGUUUUUGAGUAGAGGUGCUCUUCCAGUUCUUGUUGAGAGUGUUACAAAAAUAUGCUGUAUGUGUUCCAUUGUGCCUUCCCAAUGUCUGAAAAAGUCUGUAUUCCAAAAUACAUCUGGCUGCAAGAAUUUCAUGUAAAAUGUGUGGACCUACAGAAGAAUGUUUUUAUGACUUUGGGGUCAAGAACAAUUUUUUUUUUUUUUUUUUUUUUUUUUAGCCAUAAA